rnacentral:rRNA from 1 species
CACGUAGGGCGCGAGCGUUGUCCGGAAUUAUUGGGCGUAAAGAGCUCGUAGGCGGCUUGUCGCGUCGAAUGUGAAAUCUCGGGGCUCAACUCCGAGCUUGCAUUCGAUACGGGCAGGCUAGAGUUCGGUAGGGGAGACUGGAAUUCCUGGUGUAGCGGUGAAAUGCGCAGAUAUCAGGAGGAACACCGGUGGCGAAGGCGGGUCUCUGGGCCGAUACUGACGCUGAGGAGCGAAAGCGUGGGGAGCGAACAGG